GGAGCCGCGCGGGUCGGAGUCCUCGGUCAACCGCGGCCCUCCUCCCUCUCAGCGUCCAUCUGUCCGGAGGGCAGCCGGUGGACAUGACCGAUCCACCAGGGGCGCCGCCGCCGGCGCUCGCAGGCCGCGGGUGAAGAAGAAACCACGUCCCCGCUCGACCCGGAGGGUGAAGCAGACCGAGGGGGUGACCAGGGGCGAGGAAGUGACCCGGGCGGAGGAGGUGGCCCAGGCCGAGGAGGUGACCUCGACCCAGGAAAUG
rnacentral:other from 1 species